rnacentral:rRNA from 1 species
CAGCACGGGUGCUUGCACCUGGUGGCGAGUGGCGAACGGGUGAGUAAUACAUCGGAACAUGUCCUGUAGUGGGGGAUAGCCCGGCGAAAGCCGGAUUAAUACCGCAUACGAUCUAUGGAUGAAAGCGGGGGACCUUCGGGCCUCGCGCUAUAAGGUUGGCCGAUGGCUGAUUAGCUAGUUGGUGGGGUAAAGGCCUACCAAGGCGACGAUCAGUAGCUGGUCUGAGAGGACGACCAGCCACACUGGGACUGAGACACGGCCCAGACUCCUACGGGAGGCAGCAGUGGGGAAUUUUGGACAAUGGGCGAAAGCCUGAUCCAGCAAUGCCGCGUGUGUGAAGAAGGCCUUCGGGUUGUAAAGCACUUUUGUCCGGAAAGAAAUCCUUGGUUCUAAUAUAGCCGGGGGAUGACGGUACCGGAAGAAUAAGCACCGGCUAACUACGUGCCAGCAGCCGCGGUAAUACGUAGGGUGCGAGCGUUAAUCGGAAUUACUGGGCGUAAAGCGUGCGCAGGCGGUUUGCUAAGACCGAUGUGAAAUCCCCGGGCUCAACCUGGGAACUGCAUUGGUGACUGGCAGGCUAGAGUAUGGCAGAGGUGGGGUAGAAUUCCACGUGUAGCAGUGAAAUGCGUAGAGAUGUGGAGGAAUACCGAUGGCGAA